rnacentral:pre_miRNA from 1 species
GUUCUGAUAUUUAGGCAUUGUAAAAUGAUCUGUUUUGCUGUUGUCGGGUGGAUCACGAUGCAAUUUUGAUUAGUAUCAUAGGAGAAAAAUUGCACGGUAUCCAUCUGUAAACCGCAGGACCUUUGUUGGCGACAUUCCUCAUCAGCAC